AGACAGGGACAAAAUUGCCGGGAGCAAUUUUGAACAACGCUUGCGUUGGCCCCGAAGGGGCGAGGCCCAUGGAUGGGCCGAGUAAUCUCGAG
rnacentral:ncRNA from 1 species